UACGUAGGGGGCAAGCGUUGUCCGGAAUCAUUGGGCGUAAAGCGCGUGUAGGCGGCUCGAUAAGUCCGCUGUGAAAGUCCAGGGCUCAACCCUGGGAUGCCGGUGGAUACUGUCGAGCUCGAGUCCGGAAGAGGAGUGUGGAAUUCCUGGUGUAGCGGUGAAAUGCGCAGAUAUCAGGAGGAACACCAAUAGCGAAGGCAGCACUCUGGUACGUGACUGACGCUGAGACGCGAAAGCGUGGGGAGCAAACAGG
rnacentral:rRNA from 1 species